rnacentral:rRNA from 1 species
UACGAAGGGAGCUAGCGUUGUUCGGAAUUACUGGGCGUAAAGGGCGCGUAGGCGGGUUUCCAAGUCGGGGGUGAAAUUCCAGGGCUCAACCCUGGGACGGCCUUCGAUACUGGGAGCCUGGAGAUCGGGAGAGGUGAGUGGAAUUCCGAGUGUAGAGGUGAAAUUCGUAGAUAUUCGGAGGAACACCAGAAGCGAAGGCGGCUCACUGGACCGGUAUUGACGCUGAGGUGCGGAAAGCGUGGGGAGCAAACAGG